GUCUCGCUUAACCACACUCUAUUUCGCCGUGUCCGGAUCCAGAAGUAUGUGUGAGACGGCGGGAGACUCUAGAUAUGUACCUAAAAUCGUAUGAUAAUGUCACCAGCCGUGUAAAAAUAAUACUAUAACACUUAAACCAAUGCAGUGCACACGAUAAGUAAACCUUUCAACCACUACAUACUAUCAUGCCAUAAUUUAAUAUCAAUGGUCAGAUGAAAACGCGCCAAAUACAUAUACUGGAAAUUAAAAAGCUGCUAAUAUGUGAACAAAUCGAAGUAGGAUCCCAAAAGCAAACCAUGUCAUAUCUUUCCUUCAGAUCCGCAACUAUAGAGUGUGGGAAAAGGAUCGAAAGUAGCGUCCGAUAGCAUACUAAUAUGUCUCCCAUUCAGGUACGCAAACCUAGAAUUUAAACGCGAGAAUCAAAGAAACAAAAUUUCAAUUUCUGAGGAACAGUCCGGAGCAGUCUGUAGAGAGUUGAGAGGAAUAUCAAUGGACUUCCAUGCCAUUCAAGACGUCUGCCAUGGAGAUGAUGCAAAUGGUAAAGUACUGCAGUUCAUGCAGCGACACCAUCUUGUAUCAAGUCACGAAGACUGCGUUUGUGGAACACCAAUGAACAUACAAAUAUUCUUGUGGCGGAGACGGCUUCAUAUGGAAGUGUCCAAGAAUGGCCUGCAAGGCAAUAAGGUCAGUGAAAUAUGGAUCAUUUUUUCCAAGUCUAAUAUUCUACUGCUAAAGUACCUUCUGUCCAUGCUUUAUUAGGCAUAUGAUGACCACAUGAUGGAGACUUGCGAAAGCAUGAAACUGUGUCCUCGAACGGGAGUGCAAGUAUUCCAAUAUAUCCGAGGUAUUUGCACUUGGAGACUGCUGCACACACCAAUUCAAUUAGGAGGAGCUGUGGGUAUUCAUCACCAAGUCUGUCAGAUAGAUGAAUCGUGUUUUUCACACAAACUGAAGCACCAUCGUGGACACCCACCACGUCAACCAGUCUGGGUUUUUGGGAUAGUGGAGACUUCACAUUUCCCUGCCCUUUGGAUACAUGGAAAUCAUGGCAAGGAGAGACGCUUUAACACUCCUUCCCAUCAUUUGAACACACGUAUUACCAAACACCGUGAUACAUUCCGACGAAUGGCGAGCGUAUCAUACACUUAGCACAGUUCCCAACAUUGCAGGCCACCUCAAUGUCAACCACAGCAUACACUUUCGUGAUCCGAUGACAGGAGUCCAUACGAAUCACAUAGAGUCAUACUGGAACAGAGUCAAAUUGCGGCUCAAGCGCAUGAAAGGAUGCCAUCGGCACAUGCUAUCGUCAUAUCUUGACGAAUUCAUGUGGCAAGAGAGGUACGAAUGAACAAGAUCAGAGGCACUGCAAAACCUGAUGAUAGGAGACAUCGCAGCAUGCUAUCCUGUCCCUCACUAAACUAUCAGAAAACAGAACUGAGUGUAAGACACAAGUCGUAAGAAAGUUGCCUACCGUAGUCAUAGAAGUAGUGUAGUAGCAAUACAUGUGUCCUCACUAAGAUGGCUAAGCCAAUUGAUAUUAAUAAUUCUCAUGAUUUGGUUUGU